UGGGCGUAAGGGCUCGCAGGCGGUUUCUUAAGUCUGAUGUGAAAGCCCCCGGCUCAACCGGGGAGGGUCAUUGGAAACUGGGGAACUUGAGUGCAGAAGAGGAGAGUGGAAUUCCACGUGUAGCGGUGAAAUGCGUAGAGAUGUGGAGGAACACCAGUGGCGAAGGCGACUCUCUGGUCUGUAACUGACGCUGAGGAGCGAAAGCGUGGGGAGCGAACAGGAUUAGAUACCCCCCGUAGUC
rnacentral:rRNA from 1 species